rnacentral:snoRNA from 1 species
AUUCUUUUGUAGUUCAUGAGCAUGAUGAUUGGGUGUUCACACGCUUGUGUGAGAUGUGCCACCCUUGAAUCUUGUUAUGACGUCAGCACAUUACCCAUCUGACU